CGCCCUUAGAGUUUGAUCAUGGCUCAGGACGAACGCUGGCGGCGUGCCUAAUACAUGCAAGUCGAACGCAGCUUGCUUUGGUAAGAUGAGUGGCGAACGGGUGAGUAACACGUGGGUAACCUGCCUAUCAGAGGGGGAUAACACUUGGAAACAGGUGCUAAUACCGCAUAGAUUUCUUUCGCAUGAAAAGAGAGGAAAGACGUACGUGUCACUGAUAGAUGGACCCGCGGUGCAUUAGCUAGUUGGUGAGGUAACGGCUCACCAAGGCCAUGAUGCAUAGCCGACCUGAGAGGGUGAUCGGCCACACUGGGACUGAGACACGGCCCAGACUCCUACGGGAGGCAGCAGUAGGGAAUCUUCGGCAAUGGACGAAAGUCUGACCGAGCAACGCCGCGUGAGUGAAGAAGGUUUUCGGAUCGUAAAACUCUGUUGUUAGAGAAGAAUAGGUAGGAGUGACUUCCUGCCAUGACGGUAUCUAACCAGAAAGCCACGGCUAACUACGUGCCAGCAGCCGCGGUAAUACGUAGGUGGCAAGCGUUGUCCGGAUUUAUUGGGCGUAAAGCGAGCGCAGGCGUUUCUUAAGUCUGAUGUGAAAGCCCCCGGCUAAACCGGGGGAGGGCAUUGGAAACUGGGAGACUUGAGUGCAGAA
rnacentral:rRNA from 1 species